CGUGGGGACCGGGGGCGGGUCAGGGAUCAGGACGGUGACCAAGUACCCCCGGCCCCGGGGGUCCCGGGUCUGAGGCCAAGGCUGUGGCGCAACCUUUGACCCCGUACCCUCCAGCGGCGUGACCCUUGACCCGUGCCAACUGGGGCGCGACCUUUGCGCCGUCGCAGCAGAUGUGUAACCCUUGACCCCUUCGCGACCUGCGUGUGACCCUUAACCCCGCCACGCCCGGGAUAUUACCCCAGACACCUAACCCUGCCUCCUGGAGAGGGCUCCCUCCCCACCGCCGGCAUUCUGGUCCCUCCGCCUUCGACACUGAUGGCGCCAGGAGAGCUGAGAUCUCCCUGAAUUCCCUGAAGCUGACAUCGCUCAGCCUUCUGGAAGACAGCUGCGUGCGUGCAAGUCCCAGUUCCAGGAGGAGAAUGCAGAAGGAGAAGCUCUGGAACAAGUCGCAAUAUACCAUGUCCACAAGUGCACCCCAGCAGUACAAAUCAAAGAGAAGCAUCUGCACCCUCACCAUGUACAAUACACUGGCCCUCCCCCAGGCUGCUUCCCUUCUCAGCCCCAG